AUGGGGAAGUUAAGGGGAGAUGAUGGGGUGGAGGUUCGAGGGGAGGAUGGUCUGAAGUCACUCACAACUAAUCAUUUCUUUAACUUGUUUACCCCCAUGGCAGGUACAAAUAUAAAUCAUGGGCUUGAGGCGAUGUUACCUCUGGUGACUCCGCAAAUGAAUGAGCUUCUGUGUAGUGAAUACACGGAAAAGGAGAUCAAGAAAUCAAUGGAUGAAAUGGGGGAUCUCAAGGCACCGGGAGCGGAUGGUAUGCCAGCUGUGUUCUAUAAAAGGUUUUGGAGUACAGUGAGUGAUGCCGUGGUACAAGAGGUGUUGAACAUGUUGCGAGGUGGCAGUAUACCAGAGGGAUGGAAUGAAACAACUGUGGUACUCAUCCCAAAGGUUCGGAACCCAGAUCGAAUAAAGGAUCUACGCCCUAUUAGCCUAUGCAAUGUCGUUUACAAGCUUGUAUCAAAGGUGAUUGCAAACUGGCUCAAACUAAUUUUGGACAAGCUUAUUUCUGCAAACCAGAGUGCCUUCAUCCCGGGACGAUUGGUCUCGGAUAAUACCAUUCUUGCAUAUGAGAUGACACACCAUAUGAGAAGGAAGAGGAAGGGGAAUGAUGUUCUCAUGGCCCUUAAGCUGGAUAUGAGCAAAGCGUACGACAGAGUUGAAUGGCCUUUCUUGGAGAGGAUGAUGAGAAGAAUGGGCUUUGCGAAUGCCUUUUUGCAGUUGGUAAUGAAGUGUGUCACAACGGUUUCUGCGUUGCCAUUCUGGACGAAUGUUCAAGGUACACGAGCGAUACUUUUACCCGACAUGGAUGGCAGCAUGAUCUUCAGGUUGGCCCUCCAACAUCUUAGGUGGUAUACAGUCUCCACAUGA
rnacentral:rRNA from 1 species